AUACGUAGGUGGCAAGCGUUGUCCGGAAUUAUUGGGCGUAAAGCGCAUGUAGGCGGCGUGUUAAGUCUGUCGUGAAACUGCGGGGCUCAGCCCCGUAUGGCGAUGGAAACUGAUGUGCUUGAGUGCAGGAGAGGAAAGGGGAACUCCCAGUGUAGCGGUGAAAUGCGUAGAUAUUGGGAAGAACACCGGUGGCGAAGGCGCCUUUCUGGACUGUGUCUGACGCUGAGAUGCGAAAGCCAGGGUAGCGAACGGGAUUAGAUACCCCGGUAGUCCUGGCCGUAAACGAUGGGUACUAGGUGUGGGAGGUAUCGACCCCUUCCGUGCCGGAGUUAACGCAAUAAGUACCCCGCCUGGGGAGUACGGCCGCAAGGCUUAAACUCAAAGGAAUUGACGGGG
rnacentral:rRNA from 1 species